rnacentral:rRNA from 1 species
UACGAAGGGGGCUAGCGUUGUUCGGAUUUACUGGGCGUAAAGCGCACGUAGGCGGAUCGAUCAGUCAGGGGUGAAAUCCCAGAGCUCAACUCUGGAACUGCCUUUGAUACUGUCGAUCUGGAGUAUGGAAGAGGUGAGUGGAAUUCCGAGUGUAGAGGUGAAAUUCGUAGAUAUCGGAGGAACACCAGUGGCGAAGGCGGCUCAC